rnacentral:SRP_RNA from 1 species
GCCGAGUUGGGUAAAGCUAACUCGGCACUAAGAUGAUGGAACAUGGCGCAGGUUAUUAUUCUGGCUUGUCCGCUCCAAGUUAAGAGUUGAACAAUGGAACUUGUGUGAAGGUUUGCUCCUACACAGGUGUGAGGCUGGUUUCAAAGAGCAGCGAUCACCUCCUCUGACUCCUGACUUUGGAGGAUACUUCUCUAUUUAAAAAUGAGUGUUUAUCGUUGCCAUUCUUUAAAGAUGUUAACUAUUUUCUUA